GAUGAAUGCUGGCGGCGUGCUUAACACAUGCAAGUCGAGCGGUAAGGCCCUUUUAGGGUACACGAGCGGCGGACGGCUGAGUAACGCGUGGGAACAUGCCCUAAAGUGAGGAGUAAGCCCCAGAAAUGGAGUCUAAUGCCGCAUAUGAUCUUCGGAUUAAAGGAUUUAUCCGCUUUAGGAGUGGCCUGCGUACGAUUAGCUUGUUGGUGAGGUAAUGGCUUACCAAGGCGACGAUCGUUAGCUGGUCUGAGAGGAUGACCAGCCAGACUGGAACUGAGACACGGUCCAGACUCCUACGGGAGGCAGCAGUGAGGAAUCUUCCACAAUGGGCGAAAGCCUGAUGGAGCAACGCCGCGUGCAGGAUGAAGGCCCUCGGGUCGUAAACUGCUUUUAUGAGUGAAGAAUAUGACGGUAACUCAUGAAUAAGCACCGGCUAACUACGUGCCAGCCGCCGCGGUAA
rnacentral:rRNA from 1 species